UUGAUCCUACGGGAGGCAGCAGUGGGGAAUAUUGCUCAAUGGGGGAAACCCUGAAGCAGCAACGCCGCGUGGAGGAUGAAGGUUUUCGGAUUGUAAACUCCUUUUGUUAGAGAAGAUAAUGACGGUAUCUAACGAAUAAGCACCGGCUAACUCCGUGCCAGCAGCCGCGGUAAUACGGAGGGUGCAAGCGUUACUCGGAAUCACUGGGCGUAAAGAGCGCGUAGGCGGGAUAGCAAGUCAGAUGUGAAAUCCUAUGGCUUAACAAUAGAAGCGCAUUGGAAACUGGUAUUCUAGAGUAUGGGAGG
rnacentral:rRNA from 1 species